rnacentral:misc_RNA from 1 species
AACGCACCUUGCGCUCCUUGGUAUUCCGAGGAGCAUGCCUGUUUGAGUGUCAUUAAAUUCUCAACCCUAUCAGCUUUGCUGCUGGUUUGGCUUGGAUGUGGGGGUCUUUUUUUUGCAGGCCUUUGACAAGGUCAGCUCCCCUGAAAUGCAUUAGCGGUGCCACUGUGGUCAACGGCUAUUGGUGUGAUAACUAUCUAUGCCAUUUUGCCUGUCUGCUUGCUGCUUCAAACCGUCUCUUUUGUGACAACAUGAAUGACAAUUUUGGCCUCAAAUCAGGUAGGACUACCCGCUGAACUUAA